rnacentral:rRNA from 1 species
AGUAUCAGUCAUAUCACCCUGCAGCCCAAGACCGGUUACUCACUGAAGCUAAGCAGGGCUGAGCCUGGUUAGUACCUGGAUGGGAGACCACUAGGGAACACUAGGUUGCUGUUGGAA